AUGAACGCUUGCGGCGUGCCUAAUCCCUGCCAGUCGCGCGAACAGACGAGGAGCUUGCUCCUCUGAUGUUAGCGGCGGACGGGUGAGUAACACGUGGAUAACCUACCUAUAAGACUGGGAUAACUUCGGGAAACCGGAGCUAAUACCGGAUAACAUGUUGAACCGCAUGGUUCAACAGUGAAAGACGGUCUUGCUGUCACUUAUAGAUGGAUCCGCGCCGCAUUAGCUAGUUGGUAAGGUAACGGCUUACCAAGGCAACGAUGCGUAGCCGACCUGAGAGGGUGAUCGGCCACACUGGAACUGAGACACGGUCCAGACUCCUACGGGAGGCAGCAGUAGGGAAUCUUCCGCAAUGGGCGAAAGCCUGACGGAGCAACGCCGCGUGAGUGAAGAAGGUCUUCGGAUCGUAAAACUCUGUUAUUAGGGAAGAACAAAUGUGUAAGUAACUAUGCACGUCUUGACGGUACCUAAUCAGAAAGCCACGGCUAACUACGUG
rnacentral:rRNA from 1 species